UACGGAGGGGACUAGCGUUGUUCGGAAUUACUGGGCGUAAAGCGCACGUAGGCGGCUUCUUAAGUCAGGGGUGAAAUCCUGGAGCUCAACUCCAGAACUGCCUUUGAUACUGAGUAGCUUGAGUCCGGGAGAGGUGAGUGGAACUGCGAGUGUAGAGGUGAAAUUCGUAGAUAUUCGCAAGAACACCAGUGGCGAAGGCGGCUCACUGGCCCGGUACUGACGCUGAGGUGCGAAAGCGUGGGGAGCAAACAGG
rnacentral:rRNA from 1 species